AACAGGGAUGGGAUGCCCCUUUU
rnacentral:rRNA from 1 species